CCGUCCAUAAAUAUGGAUAUCGUUUUAGUUGUCCCCUCCUUGUCAAAUAACUUGUUGUAUGUGCGUCAAAUUACUAAACAAUUGUAUUGUUGUGUAAUCUUGACGAGUUCAGCCUUCCUGACGAGUUCAUCUCUCGCAUCCCAAACGUCAAAAUUAGUGGAACCAUUUCCAAAGGAAGAAAAAUAGAUACUGAAUACUGACAGCAUUCAGAUAUUCUGGUUUGAACAGCCUCCAAUAGAUUGCCCAAGACAUGAUGACACUCAGGUAGCUUUAAGCAUAACUUACUCAGAAUCACAAUGAAAAAAAAACAUAACUUACUCAGAAUCACAAUGAACCUUGAAGUUGUCCAACUGAUUGAUGAGGUUCUGC